rnacentral:rRNA from 1 species
CAGCCGCCGCGGUAAUACGUAGGGUGCGAGCGUUAAUCGGAUUUACUGGGCGUAAAGCGUGCGCAGGCGGCCCGUUUAGACAGGUGUGAAAUCCCUGGGCUCAACCUAGGAAUUGCGCUUGUGACUGGCGGGCUCGAGUACGGUAGAGGGGGGUGGAAUUCCUGGUGUAGCAGUGAAAUGCGUAGAGAUCAGGAGGAACACCGAUGGCGAAGGCAGCCCCCUGGGCCUGUACUGACGCUCAUGCACGAAAGCGUGGGGAGCAAACAGGAUUAGAUACCCUGGUAGUCCACGCCCUAAACGAUGGGUACUAGCCGUUUGGUGCGCGAUAGCGCUGAGUGGCGAAGCUAACGCGUGAAGUCCCCCGCCUGGGGAGUACGGCCGCAAGGUUGAAACUUAAAGGAAUUGGCGGG